ACAGGUCAUUACAAAUAUACGUACUAUUCUACGUACUUCGCACUAUUUUUCUACGUAGUUCCCACAUCAAUUG
rnacentral:lncRNA from 1 species